GGUAGUUCGGAUUACUUCUUUAAGUGUCUGUUCUCUUUUUUCGCGCAAAAAUGCCGGAUCCAGCGAAAUCCGCUCCUGCUCCCAAGAAGGGCUCCAAAAAGGCUGUUAAAAGAGUGCAGAAGAAGGACGGCGAGAAGCGCAAGCGCAGCCGCAAGGAGAGCUACUCCGUUUACGUGUAGGAGGUGCUGAAGCAGGUCCACCCCGACACCGGCAUCUCGUCCAAGGCCAUGGGCAUCAUGAACUCCUUCGUCAACGACAUCUUCGAGCGCAUCGCGGGAGAGGCGUCCCGCCUGGCGCACUACAACAAGCGCUCCACCAUCACAUCCCGUGAGAUCCAGACGGCCGUGCGCCUGCUGCUGCCCGGCAAGCUGGCCAAGCACGCCGUGUCCGAGGGCACCAAGGCGGUCACCAAGUACACCAGCUCGAAGGACAGCACAACACAGAAUGAGGAUUUGGGUGAAGUUGCAACCACCGAGUUCCACAUACCAGUUUAGAAGCCUCAGAGUAUAAGUCAUUGGGUAUUUAAGGACCUUACCUAAGCUAACUCAGAAGCAUUAUGAAGGGCAGUAUUGACAUUAACUGCCAGGAAUCUCCUAAAAGAGUCAAGGGAUUAUACAUGAGUCAUAGAAGGAUACUUGAAGAUGGACAAUUAUAGUCCCAUCACUUUAUGGAAGACUAUGAGACCCAAAUAAGAGAAAUCCCAGUGGUCCACGAACUUAGCUCUGCAUUUUCUAGCUGAAGUUACUGUUGUUGUCAACUACUCAGCAUCCAAAAUUUUCACAAGAAAACAAGGUUUUUUCUCUUCAAAUUACAGUCCAAAGAGUGGCAAACAAGAAAGAUGACAGAGUCCGAAGACCUUAAGAUUUCUUUUCUUUGGUCAAGAACUCAUUACACAAUGGAUGAUACAUCUUAGGUGGUCCUACUAAAAAGAGACACAAGAAUCUAGAGACUAUCUCACUGUCAACCAAUCCAAGGAACUUUGCUUUAGAUGGCCAAAGCCAGAAACAGCAAAGUAGAAGAACUACUAGAGCUUUAAGCAGUUCCUUAGUAUUUUUCCUUGGCUUAUCCAAGCCUGGAUACUGGUCCACUUUCCCAAAGUUGGUAAAGAGGUAAUACAGCUUGGGAUUGAUUGGAUAUUGAGACAGAAAGAGAGGGGGAGAGAGAGAUAUCUAGGUACUGGAGCAGCACUAGGCACUCAGAAGAAGGAACACUUGGAGCAAAAAAUGAAGGAUAUAGAUUAGUGAAGUGAAGUCAGGAGCAAAUGAUCUCAGUUGCUUUACAUGAUCAAAGGACAAUAACUGCAAAUUGCCAGAGGGUAGGUGAAGCUCCAUAUCACUUUUUAAUAUUAGUGUUUUAAACACCUAGGAAUAGAAUAUACCUAAAGAUAAUAGCUUGAUUUCCCCACACCCACCUUUGCAAUGUUUUGAUUUUGCACAAGUCUUGGUUUCUAGUUUGUGGGAUUAUCAUUUUUCAUUGCAUUGAAGGAAAAUUCUUUAGGCCAGGAGGGAGUCUAAGACUUCAGACACAGCACAGAUACGAUCCUGGGCAAGGGUCAUUCAGUGUUCUUAAGAAAAUUCUAAAUCCUAAGGUGUGAUGGUUAAUAUUAGGUGUCAACUUGAUAGGAUUAAAGGAUGCCUAGAUAGCUAAGUAUUGUUUCUGGGUGUGUCUGUGAGGGUGUUGCCAGAGGAGAUUAACAUUUGAGUCAGUGGACCAGGAGAGGAAGACUCACCCUCAAUGUGGGUUGGCACCAUCCAGUCGGCUGCCAGGGUAGCUACAACAAAGCAGGAGAGAGAAGGUGGGCUAAGCUGGCUUGCAGAGUUCUGGCUUUCAUCCCUCUCCUGUGCUGGAUGCCUCCAUCCAUUCCUCCUGCCUUUGGACAUCAGACUCCAGGUUGUUUGGCCUUUGGACUCUUGGACUUAACACCAGUGGCUUGCCUGGGGCUUUUGGGCCUUAGGCCACAGACUGAAGGCUGCACUAUGGGCUUCCCUACUCUUGAGGCUUUUGGACUCAGACUGAACCACUACUGGCUUCUUUCUUCCUCAGCUUGCAGACGGCCCACCGUAGGACAUUGCCUUGUAAUCAUGUGAGCCAAUUCUCCUUAAUAAACUCCUUUUAAUAUA